rnacentral:siRNA from 1 species
CACGUUUCUUAGGUAUACCUAGA